rnacentral:rRNA from 1 species
AGAGACAGCAGCCGCCGCGGGAAAACAGAGGGUGCGAGCGUUAAUCGGAUUUACUGGGCGUAAAGCGUGCGUAGGCGGCUUCUUAAGUCGGAUGUGAAAUCCCUGAGCUUAACUUAGGAAUUGCAUUCGAUACUGGGAAGCUAGAGUAUGGGAGAGGAUGGUAGAAUUCCAGGUGUAGCGGUGAAAUGCGUAGAGAUCUGGAGGAAUACCGAUGGCGAAGGCAGCCAUCUGGCCUAAUACUGACGCUGAGGUACGAAAGCAUGGGGAGCAAACAGGAUUAGAUACCCCUGUAGUCCCUGUCUCUUAUAC